AUUGAACGCUGGCGGCAGGCCUAACACAUGCAAGUCGAGCGGCGCUGCGGACGGGCGAGUAAUGCCUAGGAAUAUGCCUGGUAGUGGGGGAUAACGUCCGGAAACGGGCGCUAAUACCGCAUAUUACCAGAUGAGCCUAGGUGGUAUUAGCUAGUUGGUGUGGUAAAGGACUACCAAGGCAACUAUCCGUAACUGGUCUGAGAGGAUGAUCGGUCACACUGGAACUGGGACACGGUCCAGACUCCUACGGGAGGCAGCAGUGGGGAAUAUUGGACAAUGGGCGAAAGCCUGAUGCAGCCAUGCGGCGUGUGUGAAGAAGGUCUUCGGAUUGUAAAGCACUUUAAGUUGGGAGGCGUUACCGACAGAGUAAGCACCGGCUAACUUCGUGCCAGCAGCCGCGGUAAUUC
rnacentral:rRNA from 1 species